rnacentral:rRNA from 1 species
UACGAAAGGGGCUAGCGUUGUUCGGAAUUACUGGGCGUAAAGGGCGCGUAGGCGGUCUUGUAAGUCAGAUGUGAAAGCCCCGGGCUCAACCCGGGAAUAGCAUUUGAUACUGCGAGGCUUGAGUCCGUGAGAGGAUGGCGGAAUUCCCAGUGUAGAGGUGAAAUUCGUAGAUAUUGGGAAGAAUACCGGUGGCGAAGGCGGCCAUCUGGAGCGGUACUGACGCUGAGGCGCGAAAGCGUGGGGAGCAAACAGG